rnacentral:rRNA from 1 species
GACGAACCGUCCUAACGUUGUUCGGAUUCACUGGGCUUAAAGGGCGCGUAGGCGGCUUGCCAAGUCAGGGGUGAAAUCUUUCGGCUUAACCGGAAAAGUGCUUCUGAUACUGGCGAGCUGGAGGGAGGUAGGGGCAGACGGAACUUCCGGUGGAGCGGUGAAAUGCGUAGAUAUUGGGAGGAACACCAGUGGCGAAGGCGGCUCACUGGACCGGUACUGACGCUGAGGCGCGAAAGCGUGGGGAGCAAACAGG